CUCACAGUGUGCCUUGAAAGGUGAUAUGUGCCUCCCUUGUAUGUUGUGCAAUUUCUGUUGAAGUGUGCCCUUGGCCUUGGUUUAUCUCCGGUAUGAGUUAAACUUGAGGACUUACUCAUCUAUUUGAAAUCUUCCCUACAGGGGUUAAUCCAUGCAAGAUAUACAUCGAAUUUCUAUGAAAGUAUUAACUCUGACGGUUCAUUAAUCAAAAUUCGACACCAUGUCCUAUUUCGAUUAAAAAAGGCUUUU
rnacentral:lncRNA from 1 species